AUUGAACGCUGGCGGCAGGCCUAACACAUGCAAGUCGCACGAGUGGCGGACGGGUGAGUAAUGUCUGGGAAACUGCCCGCUGGAGGGGGAUAACUACUGGAAACGGUAGCUCAUACCGCAUCCCAUCGGAUGUGCCCAGAGGGGAUUAGCUAGUAGGUUGGGUAACGGCUCACCUAGGCGACGAUCCCUAGAUGAUCUGAGAGGAUGACCAGCCACACUGGAACGUAGACACGGUCCAGACUCCUACGGUAGGCAGCAGUGGGGAAUAUGGCACAAUGGGCGCAAGCCUGAUGCAGCCAUGCCGCGUGUAUGAAGAAGGCCUUCGGGUUGUAAAGUACUUUCAGCGAGGAGGCGUUACUCGCAGAAGAAGCACCGGCGAACUCCGUGCCAGCAGCCGCGGUAAUAC
rnacentral:rRNA from 1 species